rnacentral:misc_RNA from 1 species
UACGGAGGGGGCUAGCGUUGUUCGGAAUUACUGGGCGUAAAGGGCACGUAGGCGGACUGUUAAGAAGGGGGUGUAAUCCUGAGGCUCAACCUCAGAAUUGCCUCCGAUACUGGCGGUCUAGAGAGCGGGCGAGGUGAGUGGAAUUCCCAGUGUAGAGGUGAAAUUCGUAGAUAUUGGGAAGAACACCAGUGGCGAAGGCGGCUCACGGGCCCGCAACUGACGCUGAGGUGCGAAAGCGUGGGGAGCAAACAGG